rnacentral:lncRNA from 1 species
AUGUGGUGGUGCUGGAGCUCCAGGAGCACAGAUCAGCAGAGGGCCCAGCCCAUGCAGAACAGCAGGAACAUCAGUUCCUCCUGUUUCCUUGUGAAAACUGGUGUGAUUCCUCUUGCUGAUGAAGUGGCAAACCCGUCUUCCAGGAUUCCAGCUGGCAUGGUAUUUAGAUGUCCAGUGAAAGCUAAGCUCAGCCUUUUGCCCCUUCCUAGAGAGCGUGGGAUAAACUGCCAGCUGGGUCUCCCUCUGCCCGCUGUAAAUCGAGCCCAGAGGAUGAGCCUGGCUUCAGCUGUUGUCAUCUGCCUUCACACACGCUUUGUGCUGCUUUCCCUGGUUCCAGAUGGCCAGAGAGAAGACAGACAGAUAUCACAGUGCAGGCACUAUGGAGCAGCCCCAGCAGCCUGGAGAAGAGACAAUCCAUUUUUCCCUUUCUGGGAUCAUCCUGUUGCAUGUUUCCUGACUAUGCAGGACGUGGUGGAGCUGAUAGACUGGCCCUUAUAUAAGUGAUUAUAUGGACGAGCCUGUCCAGCUGCUUAUCCCUGCAGCAUGGAGUGUGGCCCUGUGUGCUUCCAUCUUCCCACAGCUUCUUUCCAGGGCACACAAUGCAAACCCUCCAUUUCAGCCAUUCUGACUGGUGACAGGAUAGCCUCAAUGUUGUUUUCAGCUGCAAUGAUAUUAAAAAUAUUAAAAUAUUCACGUUGGAAGGUCAUCUCAUAGGACCCAAUGAAGACCUGCUCCCAAAUACUGUGGAGCAUGGAUACAGUCAGUUUUUGUCAUUUGGUGCCUGUGUCUCAUCACUCUCACAGCCAAGAAUUUCUUCCCAAUGUCUAAUCUGAACCUGGCCUCUGUCAGUUUCAAGCCAUUAUCCCUUGUCCUAUCACAACAUACCCUGUAAAAAGUCCCUCUCCAGCCUUCUUGUAGCCCUCUUUAGGCACUGUGAGGCUGCUGUCAUUGUAACCACUACUUCACUGGUUCCCAUUCUAAGUUUUCCUAAGGCUGUAGUAGAUUUUCGGGAAGUUGCAUCAUUUGAAAAGGUCACCUGAUGGAAGGUUCAAGUUGUAAAUGCAUAUUCAAAUCUGGAAGACUACUAAGUGCAAAGCAGACCCCUAGACCUGUAAGGGAAAUGUGAGUAGGAUGUACAUGAUUUCAAGCUGCAACAAAGAAAUCCAAUCCCUAUCAGCAUUAUGACUUGCCAUCCUUGAUAGUACUAUGAAUUUGGAAGCUGAAAGAAAAAUGGGGAACUUUGGAAGUCACUAGUAGCUAUUACGGGAAGUGGUAUAGCUGUAGUCAAAUAAAUGUGUCCCACUUCCAACA